AUUGAACGCUGGCGGCAUGCUUUACACAUGCAAGUCGGACGAGUGGCGAACGGGUGAGUAAUAUAUCGGAACGUACCGAGUACUGGGGGAUAACUAAUCGAAAGAUUAGCUAAUACCGCAUAUUAUUCGAGCGGCCGAUAUCUGAUUAGCUAGGUGGUGGGGUAAAGGCAUACCAAGGCGACGAUCAGUGGCGGGUCUGAGAGGAGGAUCCGCCAAACUGGGACUUGUACGCGGCCCAGACUCCUACGUGAGUCAGCGGGGGGGAAUUUUGGACAAUGGACGCAAGCCUGAUCCAGCCAUGCCGCGUGUCUGAAGAAGUCCUUCGGUUUGUAAAGGACUUUUGUCAGGGAAGCGGUACCUGAAGAAUAAGCACCGGCUAACUACGUGCCAGCAGCCGCGGUAAUUC
rnacentral:rRNA from 1 species